GGCGGCAGGCCUAACACAUGCAAGUCGAGCGGUAGCACAGAGAGCUUGCUCUCGGGUGACGAGCGGCGGACGGGUGAGUAAUGUCUGGGAAACUGCCUGAUGGAGGGGGAUAACUACUGGAAACGGUAGUUAAUACCGCAUAACGUCGCAAGACCAAAGUGGGGGACCUUCGGGCCUCAUGCCAUCAGAUGUGCCCAGAUGGGAUUAGCUAGUAGGUGGGGUAAUGGCUCACCUAGGCGACGAUCCCUAGCUGGUCUGAGAGGAUGACCAGCCACACUGGAACUGAGACACGGUCCAGACUCGUACGGGAGGCAGCAGUGGGGAAUAUUGCACAAUGGGCGCAAGCCUGAUGCAGCCAUGCCGCGUGUAUGAAGAAGGCCUUCGGGUUGUAAAGUACUUUCAGCGAGGAGGAAGGCAUUAAGGUUAAUAACCUUGGCGAUUGACGUUACUCGCAGAAGAAGCACCGGCUAACUCCGUGCCAGCAGCCGCGGUAAUACGGAGGGUGCAAGCGUUAAUCGGAAUUACUGGGCGUAAAGCGCACGCAGGCGGUCUGUCAAGUCGGAUGUGAAAUCCCCGGGCUCAACCUGGGAACUGCAUUCGAAACUGGCAGGCUAGAGUCUUGUAGAGGGGGGUAGAAUUCCAGGUGUAGCGGUGAAAUGCGUAGAGAUCUGGAGGAAUACCGGUGGCGAAGGCGGCCCCCUGGACAAAGACUGACGCUCAGGUGCGAAAGCGUGGGGAGCAAACAGGAUUAGAUACCCUGGUAGUCCACGCCGUAAACGAUGUCGACUUGGAGGUUGUGCCCUUGAGGCGUGGCUUCCGGAGCUAACGCGUUAAGUCGACCGCCUGGGGAGUACGGCCGCAAGGUUAAAACUCAAAUGAAUUGACGGGGGCCCGCACAAGCGGUGGAGCAUGUGGUUUAAUUCGAUGCAACGCGAAGAACCUUACCUACUCUUGACAUCCAGAGAACUUAGCAGAGAUGCUUUGGUGCCUUCGGGAACUCUGAGACAGGUGCUGCAUGGCUGUCGUCAGCUCGUGUUGUGAAAUGUUGGGUUAAGUCCCGCAACGAGCGCAACCCUUAUCCUUUGUUGCCAGCGAUCCGGUCGGGAACUCAAAGGAGACUGCCAGUGAUAAACUGGAGGAAGGUGGGGAUGACGUCAAGUCAUCAUGGCCCUUACGAGUAGGGCUACACACGUGCUACAAUGGCAUAUACAAAGAGAAGCGACCUCGCGAGAGCAAGCGGACCUCAUAAAGUAUGUCGUAGUCCGGAUUGGAGUCUGCAACUCGACUCCAUGAAGUCGGAAUCGCUAGUAAUCGUAGAUCAGAAUGCUACGGUGAAUACGUUCCCGGGCCUUGUACACACCGCCCGUCACACCAUGGGAGUGGGUUGCAAAAGAAGUAGGUAGCUUAACCUUCGGGAGGGCGCUUACCACUUUGUGAUUCAUGACUGGGGUGAAGUCGUAACAAGGUAACCGUC
rnacentral:rRNA from 1 species